rnacentral:rRNA from 1 species
AUGACUACUUCUGUUUAUGGGCCACGGGAGAAUGAGAAUAAAGUUAGAUUCCUGGAGGAGACUGUGGAAAUUGGGGGCCUUGUUCAGACGCCAUGGAUCCUGAAUGGUGACUUUAAUCUGGUUUGCAAUGAGGAUGAGCGAAGUACGAGAAGAAUUAACGGAAGAUUGUCAAAUAAAUUCAGACAUACAAUUAACACCUUGGGCCUGCAUGACAUGCCACUGGUCGGGAGGAAGUUCACGUGGAGUAAUGAUCAAGAGCGCUCGGUCAUGGCAAGAUUAGACCGUGUGCUGUUCAAUAGUGAUUGGGAGGACACCUACCCCAUCAGCGACUUGCUGCCGCUUAGUUCCAACAUAUCGGAUCACUGUCCCCCUUUUCUCACUUGCUCUAUGAACAGGCCCAGACAACGUCGUUUUCGUUUCGAA